rnacentral:lncRNA from 1 species
GACAACCUUAUGGCAGAUUGUUGACCCUCUUCUCCUUUUCCUCUCUCUCUCCCUUCUUUUUUCCCUUUACUCUCUUUUCCCAUCUGCCUUCCUAUCAUCUUCUUUUCCUUUUCUUCGUUUUUGACAAAAUAACCUGGUCUCCCCAACUUCCACUCAGCUUUCAAUUACCGAAAAGAUGUAGAGACCCUCGACUUUCAUGUAGUCUUUCCACAACUUCUAUCCAAGACAUUACCUCAUUUUGCCUGGUUGGAAGCCUUCUCAACCUCGUUUUUGUUCAUUCUGGCAAGGAUGCUACACAGGGUGGAGCACCGUUGACCUUUAGCUUCGAAGGCUCGUGCAUGGUGGUGUUGAUCGAGCUGCUCCAAAUCUCUAUGAUUUGGAUGUUGAUGCCCUCUUGAAAACUCGAGAUUUACGGCAACCGGUGGCCCCGACAUGCUCCACGAUGUAAAUGGAAGCCCUUUUGGACCCUUCGCUAUUGAGUUCUCCUUGAUAACAGGCUUGUAGGUCGUGAGUACAACAACUGAGUAUAACAACUUGGGAUUGUGGUUCUCGUUUUCUCUCAUCAUCCCACUGCAGCUUACGACUACAAAUGGAAAGUGGUCGAACUAGGGUUUGUCUCCUCUCAAAAACUCGAGAUUUAUGGUGGUCGAUGGCCCAGACAUGCUCCACGAUGUAAAUGGUAGCCCUUUUGGACCCUUUGAUCUUGACUUCUCCUUGAUAACAGGCUUGUUGGUCGUGAGUACAACAACUUGGGAUUGUGGUUCUUGUUUUCUCUCAUCAUCCUAUUGCAGCUUACGACAACAAAUGGAAAGUGGUCGAACUAGGGUUUGUCUCCUCUCAAGUUGGGCUAGGCUAUUUUAGCCAUUGUACUUCUUAUUUUAUUUUCUUAGUGUGAGGUGUGCCGCGUAUUUUCGAUCGAAUAGAUGACAACGCUACAACGAGAAGCUUCCCAACGUUGCCAUGAUAGACGACAUCAUGACGACGUGAAUGGGGUUCCCACAUAAAUCGAGUUCCUUCUCCAGUUAAACUCUGUUAUCUUUUUCUAGUCAAACUCUGAUUACUCUAGGGAUAUUUUAGUAUAAUUUGACCUCUAAUCUUAGUCUAUUUAAGGGGGUGUUGUAUCUCUAUUUUGAGAGGUCAAUUAAAGAUGUACUACUAU